AUGGGAAGCCCUGCGUGGCCUGCUCAUCUGAAAUGUAAACGCAAAAUACUUAUGACUUCCCAGACACCGGCUUCGGCUUCUGGAAGGGGUCCCGUGCACAGGGCUGAGGGCUCUGCCCCAGGCGUCCGUUUGUUGAUUAACCAAAGGCUGGGCCUGUCCUUCCUCUGCUCUCUUCAUGGAAAGGGGCUCUGGGGAGGCCGUGCAGGGGCUUUCACUGUGUUUCCACCGUCAGAAGCUAUGGCCAAGUUCACUUUUCCAAGUCAGAAUGUGGAAGGAGGGACCGUGUGUCCUGCGCCUCUGGGCCCCAGGUCCCCUCUGUGCUCACACCAGGUUUGUCACCCUAGAGCAUGUGUGCGGAUUCUCUGCAGGGGAGGGUCUGAGUCCAGACCUGAGCACCGAGACCGUGAAAAAGCAGAAGGAAAACACCGUGUUCUUCCAAAGCUCGCAGCACUGGAGGCAGCCCGGACCUCCCACCUGGAGUGGUUCUGGCCUCAACGUGCGUCCCGUCGGUGGGACCGGCUCCGUUUCAUUUUGUCUCAGAAAACCCGAGAGCCCGGAGGUGUGGCAGGUGGGGUCAUCCCAGAGGCCCACCACGAGAGGAGGGAGGCGUGCCACGCAGCGUGGAAAACCUCUGCUGGUGGACAGUCCCACCGAGUCCCCAGCCACCUCCCUCGGCGUGUCCCUCUACACGUGCUAAUUGGCUGUUGCUAUUCUAGGGAAAUGCUCUUUAUCACAAAUAAUCUGAAGUUGGGGUCCCUGGAUGGCUCCGUCCACGGAGCGUCUGUCCUCAGCUCAGGUCAUGAUCUCACGGUUCGGUUUGUGAGUUCGAGCCCCACAUCUGUCUCUCUGCUGCCAGUGCAGAGCCUGCUUGGGAUUCUCUGUCCCUCUCUCUCCGCCCCUCCCCACCCAAGCUCUCCCUCUCAAAAACAAAUAAAACAUCUAAAGAAAUCAUCUGAAAUUAAAAACAAAUGUGCUCAGCUUUGUGCGUGCACGGCCUUAAUGAGUUUCACUAAUUCCUCGUGA
rnacentral:lncRNA from 1 species